rnacentral:rRNA from 1 species
GAUGAACGCUGGCGGCGUGCCUAAUACAUGCAAGUCGAGCGAACAGACGAGGAGCUUGCUCCUCUGACGUUAGCGGCGGACGGGUGAGUAACACGUGGAUAACCUACCUAUAAGACUGGGAUAACUUCGGGAAACCGGAGCUAAUACCGGAUAAUUUAUUGAACCGCAUGGUUCAAUAGUGAAAGACGGUUUUGCUGUCACUUAUAGAUGGAUCCGCGCCGCAUUAGCUAGUUGGUAAGGUAACGGCUUACCAAGGCAACGAUGCGUAGCCGACCUGAGAGGGUGAUCGGCCACACUGGAACUGAAACACGGUCCAGACUCCUACGGGAGGCAGCAGUAGGGAAUCUUCCGCAAUGGGCGAAAGCCUGACGGAGCAACGCCGCGUGAGUGAUGAAGGUCUUCGGAUCGUAAAACUCUGUUAUUAGGGAAGAACAAAUGUGUAAGUAACUAUGCACGUCUUGACGGUACCUAAUCAGAAAGCCACGGCUAACUACGUG